rnacentral:rRNA from 1 species
UCUUGCGCAAUGGGCGAAAGCCUGACGCAGCCAUGCCGCGUGAAUGAUGAAGGUCUUAGGCUUGUAAAGUUCUUUUGCCCGUGACGAUGAUGACGGUAACGGGAGAAUAAGCCCCGGCUAACUUCGUGCCAGCAGCCGCGGUAAUACGAAGGGGGCUAGCGUUGUUCGGAAUUACUGGGCGUAAAGCGCGCGUAGGCGGUUUUGCGAGCCAGAGGUGAAAUGCCUGAGCUUAACUUAGGAAUUGCCUUUGGGACUGUGAGGCUUUGAGGACGAGAGAGGUGAGUGGAAUUCCCAGUGUAGAGGUGAAAUUCGUAGAUAUUGGGAAGAACACCGGGGCGAAGGGGCUCACGGCUCGUUCGACGCUUAGCGCGAA